ensembl:lncRNA
AUAUAUCCUAUUCGAAGCCACAUUAGUUCCAACACUAAUUAUCAUCACCCGCUGAGGUAACCAAACAGAACGCCUAAACGCAGGCCUCUACUUUCUAUUCUACACGCUAGUAGGCUCCCUCCCACUCUUAGUCGCACUAAUCUCUAUCCAAAACCUAACAGGCUCACUAAAUUUCCUACUAAUCCAAUACUGAAACCAAGCACUACCCGACUCUUGAUCUAAUAUCUUCUUAUGAUUAGCAUGUAUAAUAGCGUUUAUAGUUAAAAUGCCCCUAUAUGGCCUUCACCUCUGACUUCCGAAAGCCCAUGUAGAAGCCCCAAUCGCUGGGUCCAUAGUGCUAGCAGCCAUCCUACUAAAACUAGGGGGCUACGGAAUACUGCGAAUUACAAUAAUACUAAACCCCCAGACUAAUUUUAUAGCCUACCCCUUCCUCAUACUAUCUCUAUGAGGAAUAAUUAUAACUAGCUCCAUCUGCUUACGACAAACUGAUCUAAAAUCACUUAUUGCAUACUCCUCUGUCAGCCAUAUAGCCCUAGUAAUUGUAGCCGUCCUUAUCCAAACACCAUGAAGCUAUAUAGGGGCCACAGCCCUAAUAAUUGCCCACGGUCUUACGUCAUCAAUACUAUUCUGUCUAGCAAACUCAAAUUACGAACGCACUCAUAGCCGAACCAUAAUCCUAGCCCGCGGACUUCAAACUCUCCUUCCCCUCAUAGCAGCUUGAUGACUAUUAGCCAGCCUAACCAACCUGGCCCUCCCUCCCAGCAUUAACCUAAUCGGAGAACUAUUCGUAGUAAUAUCAUCAUUCUCAUGGUCAAAUAUCACCAUCACCGCUCUCUACUCCCUCUACAUACUAAUUACUACACAACGAGGAAAAUACACAUACCAUAUCAACAACAUCAAACCCUCAUUUACACGAGAAAACGCACUCAUAGCCCUCCACAUGACUCCCCUACUACUCCUAUCACUUAAUCCCAAAAUCAUCCUAGGCUUUACGUACUGUAAAUAUAGUUUAACAAAAACGCUAGAUUGUGGAUCUAGAAACAGAAACUCAAUAUUUCUUAUUUACCGAGAAAGUAUGCAAGAACUGCUAAUUCAUGCUUCCGCGUCUGACAAACACGGCUCUCUCAAACUUUUAAAGGAUAGGAGCUAUCCGUUGGUCUUAGGAACCAAAAAAUUGGUGCAACUCCAAGUAAAAGUAAUUAACAUAUUCUCCUCCCUCAUGCUAGUUUCAUUAUCAGUAUUAACCCUACCAAUCAUAUCAUCAAUCCUCAACACCCACAAAAACAGCACGUAUCCUCAUCACGUAAAAAACAUCAUUUCAUAUGCCUUCAUUACCAGCCUAAUUCCUACCAUAAUAUUUAUCCACUCUGGACAAGAAACAAUCAUCUCAAACUGACACUGAAUGACCAUUCAAACCCUCAAACUAUCCCUAAGCUUCAAACUAGACUAUUUCUCAAUGGUCUUUGUACCAGUAGCCCUAUUCGUAACAUGAUCUAUCAUAGAAUUCUCCCUAUGAUACAUACACUCAGAUCCUUACAUCACUCGAUUUUUUAAAUACCUACUCACAUUCCUUAUUACCAUAAUAAUCCUAGUCACAGCCAACAACCUCUUCCAACUGUUCAUCGGAUGAGAGGGAGUAGGCAUCAUAUCAUUCCUACUAAUCGGAUGAUGAUAUGGUCGAACAGAUGCCAACACUGCAGCCCUCCAGGCAAUCCUAUACAACCGCACGGGG